rnacentral:rRNA from 1 species
CAGUAGCCACGGGAAUACAGAGGGUGCGAGCGUUAAUCGGAUUUACUGGGCGUAAAGCGUGCGUAGGCGGCUUUUUAAGUCGGAUGUGAAAUCCCUGAGCUUAACUUAGGAAUUGCAUUUGAUACUGGGAAGCUAGAGUAUGGGAGAGGAUGGUAGAAUUCCAGGUGUAGCGGUGAAAUGCGUAGAGAUCUGGAGGAAUACCGAUGGCGAAGGCAGCCAUCUGGCCUAAUACUGACGCUGAGGUACGAAAGCGUGGGGAGCAAACAGGAUUAGAUACCCCGGUAGUCCCUGUCUCUUAUAC